GCAUAUCAAUAAGCGGAGGAAAAGAAACCAACAGGGAUUGCCCCAGUAACGGCGAGUGAAGCGGCAAGAGCUCAAAUUUGAAAGCUGGCUCCUUCGGGGUCCGCAUUGUAAUUUGCAGAGGAUGCUUCGGGAGCGGUCCCCAUCUAAGUGCCCUGGAACGGGACGUCAUAGAGGGUGAGAAUCCCGUAUGGGAUGGGGUGUCCGCGCCCGUGUGAAGCUCCUUCGACGAGUCGAGUUGUUUGGGAAUGCAGCUCUAAAUGGGUGGUAAAUUUCAUCUAAAGCUAAAUAUUGGCCGGAGACCGAUAGCGCACAAGUAGAGUGAUCGAAAGAUGAAAAGCACUUUGAAAAGAGAGUUAAAAAGCACGUGAAAUUGUUGAAAGGGAAGCGCUUGCGACCAGACUCGCUCGCGGGGUUCAGCCGGCAUUCGUGCCGGUGUACUUCCCCGCGGGCGGGCCAGCGUCGGUUUGGGUGGUCGGUCAAAGGCCCUCGGAAGGUAACGCCCCCUCGGGGGCGUCUUAUAGCCGAGGGUGCAAUGCGACCUGCCUGGACCGAGGAACGCGCUUCGGCUCGGACGCUGGCAUAAUGGUCGUAAGCGACCCGUCUUGAAACACGGACCAAGGAGUCUAACAUCUACGCGAGUGUUCGGGUGUCAAACCCGUGCGCGCAGUGAAAGCGAACGGAGGUGGGAACCCUUUUGGGUGCACCAUCGACCGAUCCUGAUGUCUUCGGAUGGAUUUGAGUAAGAGCGUAGCUGUUGGGACCCGAAAGAUGGUGAACUAUGCCUGAAUAGGGCGAAGCCAGAGGAAACUCUGGUGGAGGCUCGUAGCGGUUCUGACGUGCAAAUCGAUCGUCGAAUUUGGGGUAUAGGGGCGAAAGACUAAUCGAACCAUCUGGUAGCUGGUUCCUGCCGAAG
rnacentral:rRNA from 1 species